CGCGUCGCCCCCGACCACGCCACCCUCAUGGGAAUGGCUUGUGUCGGGGGCGGAGACUGGCCUCCCAUGCCCAUGGUGUGGUUGGCCUAAAAAGGAGUCCCCUUUGUCGGACGCACGGCCAGUGGUGGUUGUCAAGGCCUUUGUAACGAGCCGUGUGGAUGCAAAGGGACCGCUCUAAAAAGACCCCAACGUGCUGUC
rnacentral:misc_RNA from 1 species